GUUUCUAAAUUUGAGUUGGUUUUAUAGUUUUUUUUUCUUGUAUCAAUUUGAUUGUGAUUUGUGAAAAGUUUAUAGUAAUUAUACUUCUUUUUUCCAGAUGUUUUGAUGCAAACUUGGUUGAGAUCCCAGUUGAAAUUGAGGAUCCUGGUCAUUAUUACUACCAUUUUGCUUUUUUUACUUCCAGAAAAGUAGCAGCACUUGAGGAGUUAACAUGGGAUUAUGGCAUUGACUUUGAUGAUCAUGAUCAUCCUAUCAAGCUGUUCCAGUGCAGUUGUGGCAGUAAAUUAUGCAGGCAUAUAAAGAGGUCAAACAGAUCCAGUAGUUCUGCUUCAAUUUCCGGAUGAUGAUAAGUUCUUUCUCCGUCGAACCGAUUUUGAUGUCUCACCGUGCUUUGACGAGUUGUAUUACAAGUGGUUUGCUUUUGUUUUUUGGUAAGUGGAUGAUAGGUUUUUUGUAUAGAUGGUUGAAAACUAUUAUCGGCAUUCGUGUCGCACGAAAGAGUUAUCUGUCAUUUUGGGAUUUAUUUUGGUAAACUUAUUACGAGGAGUUCAAAUUUAGAAAAACCAAAAUGAAGAUUAGGCUGUAGUGAAGGUGAAUAUGUAGUUUAUAGCUGCAGCGCAUGUGGGACUUUGAUAUCUCUUAUUAAUAUUAACGUACUUUGGUUGGAAUUUCAUGUUAUGAAA